UAAAUUGAGAGUUUGAUCCUGGCUCAGGACGAACGCUGGCGGCGUGCCUAACACAUGCAAGUCGAGCGAGAAACUUUUGUUUCUAGCGGCGGACGGGUGAGUAACACGUGGAUAACCUGCCUCAUAGUGGGGGAUAGCCUCCCGAAAGGGAGAUU
rnacentral:ncRNA from 1 species